GAGAAUUGUAAACUUACGGAAUUGUCUCUUGAUAGUAACAAGAUAGGUGAUGGAGGUGCAAAAUCUCUUCGUGAAGCUUUGAAAAGUGAGAAUUGUAAACUUACUAAAUUGGAUCUUUCUUAUAACAAAGUAGGUGAUAAAGGUGCAAAAUAUCUUAGUGAAGCUUUGAAAAGUGAGAAUUGUAAACUUAGUGAAUUGUCUCUUAAUUAUAACAAAAUAGGUGAUGAAGGUGCAAAAUCUCUUAGUGAAGCUUU